rnacentral:rRNA from 1 species
UGCCUCAAAGAGGGGGACAACAGUUGGAAACGACUGCUAAUACCGCAUAAGCCCACGACCCGGCAUCGGGUUGAGGGAAAAGGAGUAAUCCGCUUUGAGAUGGCCUCGCGUCCGAUUAGCUAGUUGGUGAGGUAAUGGCCCACCAAGGCGACGAUCGGUAGCCGGACUGAGAGGUUGAACGGCCACAUUGGGACUGAGACACGGCCCAGACUCCUACGGGAGGCAGCAGUGGGGAAUAUUGCACAAUGGGGGAAACCCUGAUGCAGCGACGCCGCGUGGAGGAAGAAGGUCUUCGGAUUGUAAACUCCUGUUGUUGAGGAAGAUAAUGACGGUACUCAACAAGGAAGUGACGGCUAACUACGUGCCAGCAGCCGCGGUAAAACGUAGGUCACAAGCGUUGUCCGGAAUUACUGGGUGUAAAGGGAGCGCAGGCGGGAAGACAAGUUGGAAGUGAAAUCCAUGGGCUCAACCCAUGAACUGCUUUCAAAACUGUUUUUCUUGAGUAGUGCAGAGGUAGGCGGAAUUCCCGGUGUAGCGGUGGAAUGCGUAGAUAUCGGGAGGAACACCAGUGGCGAAGGCGGCCUACUGGGCACCAACUGACGCUGAGGCUCGAAAGUGUGGGUAGCAAACAGGAUUAGAUACCCUGGUAGUCCACACUGUAAACGAUGAUUACUAGGUGUUGGAGGAUUGACCCCUUCAGUGCCGCAG